CAGCAGCCGCGGUAAUACGUAGGAUGCAAGCGUUGCUCGGAAUCACUGGGCGUAAAGAGCGCGUAGGUGGUUUGGUAAGUCAGAAGUGAAAGCCCUCGGCUUAACCGGGGAACUGCUUUUGAAACUGCCAUGCUAGAGUACGGGAGAGGGAGGUAGAAUUCCUGGUGUAGCGGUGAAAUGCGUAGAUAUCAGGAAGAAUACCGGCGGCGAAGGCGGCCUCCUGGCCCGAUACUGACACUGAGGCGCGAAAGCGUGGGGAGCGAACAGGAUUAGAUACCCUGGUAGUCCACGCCCUAAACGAUGAGUACUAGGUGUGGGGGAUGUGAUGUCCUGCCGUGCCGGAGCUAACGCAUUAAGUACUCCGCCUGGGAAGUGCGGCCGCAAGGUUGAAACUCAAAGGAAUUGACGGGGGCCCGCACAAGCGGUGGAGCAUGUGGUUUAAUUCGACGCCACGCGAAGAACCUUACCUGGGCUUGACAUCCGGGAGAUCCCUUGGAAACUGGGGGGGUGCCCUUCGGGGAGCUCGAAGACAGGUGCUGCAUGGCUGUCGUCAGCUCGUGCCGUGAGGUGUUGGGUUAAGUCCCGCAACGAGCGCAACCCUUGCCCUUAGUUGCCAUCAGUUCGGCUGGGCACUCUAAGGGGACUGCUAGCGUCAAGCUGGAGGAAGGUGGGGACGACGUCAAGUCAUCAUGGCCUUUAUGCCCAGGGCUACACACGUGCUACAAUGGCCGGUACAGAGGGCCGCGAACCCGCGAGGGCAAGCAAAUCCCAGAAAGCCGGCCUCAGUUGGGAUCGCAGUCUGCAACUCGACUGCGUGAACUUGGAAUCGCUAGUAAUCGCGGAUCAGAACGCCGCGGUGAAUACGUUCCCGGGCCUUGUACACACCGCCCGUCACACCACGAAAAUUUGAUAUACCCAAAACCGGUGUUCCAACCCGCAAGGGAGGUAGCCGUCUAAGGUGUGUCAAGUAAUUGGGGUGAAGUCGUAACAAGGUAACCGUA
rnacentral:rRNA from 1 species